CAAUAGCGUAUAUUAAAGUUGUUGCAGUUAAAAAGCUCGUAGUUGGAUUUCUGGCCGAGUGUCCCCAGGCCAGCAUGACGUUUGGUCCUGGGCGCUCUGCCAUCCUUCUGUCAACCUUCGCCUUCUUCAUUGGGGGCGCUGGGGCUCAGAUAUUUUACCUUGAGAAAAUUAGAGUGUUUCAGGCAGGCUAGCGCCCGGAUACAUUAGCAUGGAAUAAUAGAAUAGGACUUUUACCUCUUCUGUUGGUCUGAGGGGUUAAAGUAAUGAUUAAUAGGGAUAGUUGGGGGCAUUAGUACUUAACUGUCAGAGGUGAAAUUCUUGGAUUUGUUAAAGACUAACUUAUGCGAAAGCAUUUGCCAAAGAUGUUUUCAUUAAUCAAGAACGAAAGUUAGGGGAUCAAAGACGAUCAGAUACCAU
rnacentral:rRNA from 1 species